ACGUAGGGCGCAAGCGUUAUCCGGAAUUAUUGGGCGUAAAGAGCUCGUAGGCGGUUUGUCGCGUCUGCUGUGAAAGACCGGGGCUCAACUCCGGUUCUGCAGUGGGUACGGGCAGACUAGAGUGCAGUAGGGGAGACUGGAAUUCCUGGUGUAGCGGUGAAAUGCGCAGAUAUCAGGAGGAACACCGAUGGCGAAGGCAGCUCGCUGGGACGUUACUGACGCUGAGACGCGAAAGCGUGGGGAGCAAGCAGGA
rnacentral:rRNA from 1 species